AUCCAACUGACAAGUCCCAAAUAGGACGAAACGCACGUCAAACUGGAU
rnacentral:hammerhead_ribozyme from 1 species